UUGAAAUUAAUGUGUCUAUCAGUGGAUUAUGCUAUAAUAAUUUUGCUCCUCUAUCUACUUCCCAUCUAGGUAAUGAUAGUUGUGCAACUGUGAGUUGGUUUCCUGUUAGCUCAUUUACUAGAAUGGUGUUACUCUUUUGGUUUUUGUUGUGGCAUUUGGUUUAGCCACUUACAAGUUCUCCAUCUGUUUGACAGUGCUUUUGGUAAUGUUCAAUAAA
rnacentral:misc_RNA from 1 species